AUCUUAUUAGUUCAAUGUAGAGCAGGAUAUAUUUAAUAUCUAGAUCUAAGUUCAAGUCUUGGAUAAGAUU
rnacentral:tRNA from 1 species